rnacentral:misc_RNA from 2 species
AACGCACAUUGCGCCCCGUGGUAUUCCGCGGGGCAUGCCUGUUCGAGCGUCAUUUCACCACUCAAGCCUGGCUUGGUAUUGGGCGUCGCGGUUCCGCGCGCCUUAAAGUCUCCGGCUGAGCAGUUCGUCUCUAAGCGUUGUGGCAUAUAUUUCGCUGAAGAGUUCGGACGGCUUUUGGCCGUUAAAUCUUUUACAAGGUUGACCUCGGAUCAGGUAGGGAUACCCGCUGAACUUAA